UACGUAGGGUGCGAGCGUUGUCCGGAAUUACUGGGCGUAAAGAGCUCGUAGGUGGUUUGUCGCGUUGUUCGUGAAAACUCACAGCUUAACUGUGGGCGUGCGGGCGAUACGGGCAGACUGGAGUACUGCAGGGGAGACUGGAAUUUACGGUGUAGCGGUGAAAUGCGUAGAUAUCGUAAGGAACACCAAAAAAGGCGAAGGCAGUCAACUAUUCUGUUCCUGACAUUGAGGCAUGAAAGCGUGGGGAGCAAACCGG
rnacentral:rRNA from 1 species